GAUGAACGCUGGCGGCGUGCCUAACACAUGCAAGUCGAACGGAACAUUUGUUUUCGGAUGAAUGUUUAGUGGCGAACGGGUGAGUAACGCGUGAGUAACCUGCCUUUCAGAGGGGGACAACAGCUGGAAACGGCUGCUAAUACCGCAUAAUGUAUAUUUGGGGCAUCUCGAGUAUACCAAAGAUUUAUCGCUGAAAGAUGGACUCGCGUCUGAUUAGCUAGUUGGUGAGGUAAUGGCUCACCAAGGCAACGAUCAGUAGCCGGACUGAGAGGUUGAACGGCCACAUUGGGACUGAGAUACGGCCCAGACACCUACGGGAGGCUG
rnacentral:rRNA from 1 species